rnacentral:pre_miRNA from 1 species
GCCCGGUCCUGUCCUUCGCUCCCGGCCGGAGCUCUUUUCACAUUGUGCUACUGUCUGCGCCCGUCACUAGCAGUGCAAUGUAAUAAGGGGCUUCGGCGGGGCAGCUGCUACCAUCUCCGGGU